rnacentral:rRNA from 1 species
AGUGAACGCUGGCGGUAGGCCUAACACAUGCAAGUCGAACGGCAGCACAGUAAGAGCUUGCUCUUACGGGUGGCGAGUGGCGGACGGGUGAGGCAUACAUCGGAAUCUACUUUUUCGUGGGGGACAACGUAGGGAAACUUACGCUAAUACCGCAUACGACCUACGGGUGAAAGCAGGGGAUCUUCGGACCUUGCGCGAUUGAAUGAGCCGAUGUCGGAUUAGCUAGUUGGCGGGGUAAAGUCCCACCAAGGCGACGAUCCGUAGCUGGUCUGAGAGGAUGAUCAGCCACACUGAAACUGAGCAACGUUCCAGACUCCUACGGGAGGCAGCAGUGGGAAAUAUUGGACAAUGGGGGAAAGCCUGAUCCAGCCAUACCGCGUGGGUGAAGAAGUCCUUCGAGUUGUAAAGCCCUUUUGUUGGGAAAGAAAAGUGGCAGGUUAAUACCCCGCUGUUCGGAGGGUACCAAACGGAUAAGCACCGGCUAAUUUCGU